UUUCUUCAGGGCAGGGUGCAAUUCCCGAUCGGCGGUAAAGUCCGCGCGCUUUGGCAGAACCGGUGAGCAGUUUUUUGCAAUUCCGGUACCGACAGUAUAGUCUGGAUGAAAGAAGAA
rnacentral:ncRNA from 1 species